rnacentral:rRNA from 1 species
GACGAACGCUGGCGGCGUGCUUAACACAUGCAAGUCGAACGGAAAGGCCCUGCUUUUGUGGGGUGCUCGAGUGGCGAACGGGUGAGUAACACGUGAGUAACCUGCCCUUGACUUUGGGAUAACUUCAGGAAACUGGGUCUCAUACCGGAUAGGAGCUCCUGCUGCAUGGUGGGGGUUGGAAAGUUUCGGCGGUUGGGGAUGGACUCACGGCUUAUCAGCUUGUUGGUGGGGUAGUGGCUUACCAAGGCAUUGACGGGUAGCCGGCUUGAGAGGGUGACCAGCCACAUUGGGACUGAGAUACGGACCAGACUCCUACGGGAGGCAGCAGUGGGGAAUAUUGCACAAUGGGCGGAAGCCGGAUGCAGCAACGCCGCGUGCGGGAUGACUGCCUUCGGGUUGUAAACCGCUUUCGCCUGUGACGAAGCGUGAGUGACGGUAAUGUGUAAAGAAGCACCGGCUAACUACGUG